rnacentral:rRNA from 1 species
UACGGAGGGUGCGAGCGUUAAUCGGAAUAACUGGGCGUAAAGGGCACGCAGGCGGGCUAUUAAGUUAGAUGUGAAAUCCCCGGGCUUAACCUGGGAAUAGCAUUUCAGACUGGGUGUCUAGAGUAGUUUAGGGAGGGGUAGAAUUCCACGUGUAGCGGUGAAAUGCGUAGAGAUGUGGAGGAAUACCGAAGGCGAAGGCAGUCCCUUGGGAAAGUACUGACGCUCAUGUGCGAAAGCGUGGGGAGCAAACAGG